GCGCCCGUAGCUCAGCUGGAUAGAGCAAUGGUUUCCGGUACCAUGAGUCGGGGGUUCAAGUCCUCUCGGGCGCGCUA
rnacentral:tRNA from 1 species